rnacentral:rRNA from 1 species
GGGGAAUCUUGCACAAUGGGGGAAACCCUGAUGCAGCGACGCCGCGUGAGCGAUGAAGCCCUUCGGGGUGUAAAGCUCUUUCGACGGGAACGAUAAUGACGGUACCCGGAGAAGAAGCUGCGGCUAACUACGUGCCAGCAGCCGCGGUAAUACGUAGGCAGCAAGCGUUGUUCGGAGUUACUGGGCGUAAAGAGUGCGUAGGCGGUUCCGUAAGUUUGUUGUGAAAUCUCCCGGCUUAACUGGGAGGGUGCGGCGAAAACUGCGGGGCUGGAGUGUGGGAGAGGUAAGCGGAAUUCCUGGUGUAGCGGUGAAAUGCGUAGAUAUCAGGAGGAACACCGGCGGUGUAGACGGCUUACUGGACCAUGACUGACGCUGAGGCACGAAAGCGUGGGGAGCAAAC